CGGCGGCGCCGGGACGUGGGCCAGACCCCGGCCGGCCUGUGCUGGUCCCUGGGCCACGUCCUGGAGAAACCUCGCAGGCUGGUGGGAGUCGGGAGAGUGCUCGAGCAGAGAGAUCUCCGCAGACGAGGACACUGGGGAUACAGCUAUGGUCCAGAUUUAUCACCCAUCCUGGUGUCAAAACUUGUAAUAGAGCCUUGAAAGUUUCCAGGCAUCUGCCAACCAGUCAUUCUUUGCGACAGUAAUCAAAGUCCCUCUGCAUUGGAUGUUUUCAUCUGGUAUUUGGGAAGAAUGCCAGGUGAAAGGACUGAAUCUCCAGUUCCAUCAUUCCCAUGCCCUUCUUUUUCGGAGCCACACUACCUCCCUGCUGGUCUGCCAGCCAGACAGGCUUGAUCCUUUCCCAGAAUAUCUGCACUUGCUCAUCCAUCUGCCUGUAACAUUUAGGCCCAGAUGUCUACAUAGCUGAUUCCAGCCCCACCCCUUCCUUGUUUUAGGUUUCUGCUCAAACGCUACCUCUUCAGAGAGGUCCUGCCUGUGCAGCCCAUAGAUAAUAUAUAAAAUGCUGUCCUAUCACCCAACAUCAUUCUUUAUUUUUACUCUGUUUUGUUUUUCUUCAUAGCAGGUAUCACCCCUGACAUAAUAUGUAUACUGAUAUAUAUAUAUACACACACAUAUAAAUAAUUUGUUUAUUGCUUGUCUCUUUCACUAGGGUGAACAGUACUUUUGUUUUGCUCCUUGCUGUUUGCCCAGUGCCAAGAAUGGUACCUGGAAACACAUAAAUGCAUGAAUAAAUGAAUGAAUGUUCACUUUUACAUAUUUAUUUUUAAAUACUUUUUAAUUAUCUGCCAUUUAUAAAUAAGCAUGUAUUAAUUCUCAAAUACUUGCUGAAUGAAUGAACAUCUCUUGCGAGCACCUGACCUUGAUCACCUCACCAGAGACCUCAGCACACGAUCUCUCAAAGCAUUCCCUUCCAUAUUAUGACUCCACAUCCUCAACGCUUACUGAACACCUGCUCUGCUCCAGGCGCUGUGUGACAAGAGACAUCAACACGUGAUAAGGAGUCAAAGGCAGGUAAUAUCCCAUACCUGCAAAUGGGAAAAGACUCCGAGUGACUUGGAGGCUGGAUGAAUUUUAUUGUCACAAUCAAAUUACAGAUACACUAUUAAAGCAUUACCUGAAUGUU